rnacentral:rRNA from 1 species
UACGGAGGGGGCUAGCGUUGUUCGGAAUUACUGGGCGUAAAGCGCGCGUAGGCGGACCUGCAAGUCGGGGGUGAAAGCCCGAGGCUCAACCUCGGAACUGCCUUCGAUACUGCGGGUCUCGAGUCCGGGAGAGGUGAGUGGAAUUCCUAGUGUAGAGGUGAAAUUCGUAGAUAUUAGGAAGAACACCAGUGGCGAGGGCGGCUCACUGGCCCGGUACUGACGCUGAGGCGCGAAAGGCGUGGGGAGCAAACAGG